UCCUCUAAUUGGGACUCCGAGCCAGGGCUACUUCUGGCGUUGGCCCAGCUCCAAGAAGGCCAUCCCAGCCAUCACUCUUCCACCUGCUCCUUAGAGAAGGGAAGAUGAGCGAGUUGAGCUUGAAGUCCAGCCAGCCCUUGGCCUCCAAGUGGGAAAAGGAUGGCACUGAGAAGCGGGGCUGGGGCAGGCCACGCAAGCAGCCUCCGAAAGAGCCCAGAGAAGUGCCAACACCUAAGAGACCUCUGGGCGACCAAAGGGAAGCAAAAACAAAGGCGCUGCCAAGUCCCAGAAAACCAUCACAACUCCAGGAAGGAAACCAAGGGGCAGACCCACAAAACUGGAAAAGGAGGAAGAGGAGGGCAUCUUGCAGGAGUCCUCGGGGGAGGAGCAG
rnacentral:lncRNA from 1 species